GUGGGGAAUUUUGGACAAUGGGCGCAAGCCUGAUCCAGCAAUGCCGCGUGCAGGAAGAAGGCCUUCGGGUUGUAAACUGCUUUUGUACGGAACGAAACGGUCCGGGUUAAUACCCUGGGCUAAUGACGGUACCGUAAGAAUAAGCACCGGCUAACUACGUGCCAGCAGCCGCGGUAAUACGUAGGGUGCAAGCGUUAAUCGGAAUUACUGGGCGUAAAGCGUGCGCAGGCGGUUUUGUAAGACAGGCGUGAAAUCCCCGGGCUCAACCUGGGAAUUGCGCUUGGGACUGCAAGGCUGGAGGGCGGCAGAGGGGGAUGGAAUUCCGCGUGUAGCAGUGAAAUGCGUAGAUAUGCGGAGGAACACCGAUGGCGAAGGCAAUCCCCUGGGCCUGCACUGACGCUCAUGCACGAAAGCGUGGGGAGCAAACAGGAUUAGAUACCCUUGUAGUCC
rnacentral:rRNA from 1 species